rfam:Salmo salar isolate Sally breed double haploid chromosome ssa01, whole genome shotgun sequence.
UGCACGCAUGACUGUAAGUCGCUUUGAAUAAAAGUGUCUGCUAAAUGGCAUUUG